rnacentral:rRNA from 1 species
CAGUAGCCGCGGGAACACGUAGGGUGCGAGCGUUAAUCGGAAUUACUGGGCGUAAAGCGUGCGCAGGCGGUUGUGUAAGACAGGUGUGAAAUCCCCGGGCUUAACCUGGGAACUGCGCUUGUGACUGCACAGCUAGAGUAUGGCAGAGGGGGAUGGAAUUCCGCGUGUAGCAGUGAAAUGCGUAGAUAUGCGGAGGAACACCGAUGGCGAAGGCAAUCCCCUGGGCCUGCACUGACGCUCAUGCACGAAAGCGUGGGGAGCAAACAGGAUUAGAUACCCCCGUAGUCCCUGUCUCUUAUAC